rnacentral:misc_RNA from 1 species
AAUUUACCAUCAUCCAGAUAUUCUGCUGUGUAGACUUUCAAAGAUCUGCUGCCAAAAAAUUUAUGAGUUGGUAUUGUCCACAAAGUUCUUUUUCAAUUGCAUUUCAUACAUUUCACAACCUAGGAUUCUGGCGUGGAGAAAAGGGACGUUGAAAUAGUAAGAAAGGCGGGCAAAUUGCAAACAAGCUUAUUUCAUACAAUGGCUUGGUCAAAGUUCAGAACAUCAGGAUAGCCGCCAUGUAUUAUGCAUCCAGAAAAAUAUUCUUAGCAUUAGCAAACCUCAUUAAGAUGAAAGGUCAUCACCUAUUGCUAGUCCCACAACUAAGCAGCAAUAAGGCGGAGUAAUCAGGAUGCGUACUCUUACCUUUAGACAUUUUACAUUAAGGCUAUAUUUGUUACAAGGGUUCACCUCUUUAAACACUUGGUUUAGUAGAGAUGGUUGAAGGAGGCAAGAAGAGAAUUCUUUUUCUUAUUUCAUCUCUA